AUUGUCCUACGGGACGCAGCAGUGGGGAAUAUUGCACAAUGGGGGAAACCCUGAUGCAGUGACGCCGCGUGAGUGAAGAAGUAUCUCGGUAUGUAAAGCUCUAUCAGCAGGAAAGAUAAUGACGGUACCUGACUAAGAAGCCCCGGCUAACUACGCGCCAGCAGCCGCGGUAAUACGUAGGGGGCAAGCGUUAUCCGGAUUUACUGGGUGUAAAGGGAGCGUAGACGGCGGCGCAAGUCUGGAGUGAAAUGCCGGGGCCCAACCCCGGCAC
rnacentral:rRNA from 1 species